rnacentral:rRNA from 1 species
UACGUAGGGGGCAAGCGUUAUCCGGAUUUACUGGGUGUAAAGGGAGCGUAGGCGGCGGGGCAAGCCUGAUGUGAAAGCCCGGGGCCCAACCCCGGGACUGCAUUGGGAACUGCCCUGCUGGAGUGCCGGAGGGGCAGGCGGAAUUCCUAGUGUAGCGGUGAAAUGCGUAGAUAUUAGGAGGAACACCAGUGGCGAAGGCGGCCUGCUGGACGGUGACUGACGCUGAGGCUCGAAAGCGUGGGGAGCAAACAGG